GUGAGCCGUCCUCCUUAUGCUGAGAAGGGCACAUCACGCUGUGACACCGUCUGUGGUUACUACUCUCGGUCAGGUCACCCAGAUUCUGAUUGUCGCCAGAAGAAGCGAGAUCAGAGGCGCUCCUCCUCCAGCGGGACUCAUGUGUCUUCCUCGACUCCGUCACUCACUGACCAGGACAUUGUUUGCCUCAAGCGCCUUCUUGCUUCCUCAGGCUCCUCGUCGACUGUUGCUGCUGUGACUGCAUCCCCUUCCUCACCACCACCGGCAUCUACACAGUCAGGUACAUCUUCGUGGGUUCUGGAUUCUGGAGCCUCCUUUCAUAUGUCUUCUGAUUCUUCCGAGUUGUCCUCUCUCCGACCUCUUGAUUCACCUGUUAAUGUUCUUACUGCCGAUGGCACAUCUCUUCCUGUUGCUAGUCAUGGUAUUCUUUCCACUCCAUCUUUUUCUGUUCCGAGUGUUUCUCAUGUUCCUCGCCUUACCAUGAAUCUUUUUUCCGCUGCCCAACUUACUGAUUCUGGUUGUCAUGUCAUUCUUGAUACCGACUCUUGCUCCAUUCAGGAUCGUCGCACCAAGGCUUUGGUUGGUGCUGGCCCCCGGCACCGUGAGUCCGAGGGCCUUUGGGAGGUUGACUGGCUUUGUGUUCCUUCCGUAGCCACCACUUCUGCCAGCUCUCAUGCUCUUGCUUCCUCUUCGUCUGCGUCCUUCCAGUAG
rnacentral:rRNA from 1 species